UAAGUGAAAAUAUGGAGAUUUUUAAAACAGUUGAUAUUAGACUAGUAAAGAGAGUUAAUAUGGGACACCAACAGGCACUUUUGUUUUUGAUCGGUGUAUUGCUUAUUUCCUUUUAUCCGCUGUGUGACUGUGGUGCGUGUUUGAGAUAUGAUCCAUUUGGAAAUUGUCUAACUACGCAAGUAAGUCCCUUGGGAGCCUUGCUUGGUAUUUCCCAUGUGCCAAGUCCUAGAGUCCCUCAAGUCGCCACUUAUCCAGCAGCAGUGCCAGCUUAUCCAGCAGCAAUACCAGCUUAUCCAGCAGCAAUGCCAGCUUAUCCGGUAGCUAUGCCAGCAUAUAGAUAUGGCUA